rnacentral:rRNA from 1 species
GAUGAACGCUGGCGGCGUGCCUAAUACAUGCAAGUCGAGCGAACGGACGAGAAGCUUGCUUCUCUGAUGUUAGCGGCGGACGGGUGAGUAACACGUGGAUAACCUACCUAUAAGACUGGGAUAACUUCGGGAAACCGGAGCUAAUACCGGAUAAUAUUUUGAACCGCAUGGUUCAAAAGUGAAAGACGGUCUUGCUGUCACUUAUAGAUGGAUCCGCGCUGCAUUAGCUAGUUGGUAAGGUAACGGCUUACCAAGGCAACGAUGCAUAGCCGACCUGAGAGGGUGAUCGGCCACACUGGAACUGAGACACGGUCCAGACUCCUACGGGAGGCAGCAGUAGGGAAUCUUCCGCAAUGGGCGAAAGCCUGACGGAGCAACGCCGCGUGAGUGAUGAAGGUCUUCGGAUCGUAAAACUCUGUUAUUAGGGAAGAAUAUAUGUGUAAGUAACUGUGCACAUCUUGACGGUACCUAAUCAGAAAGCCACGGCUAACUACGUGCCAGCAGCCGCGGUAAUACGUAGGUGGCAAGCGUUAUCCGGAAUUAUUGGGCGUAAAGCGCGCGUAGGCGGUUUUUUAAGUCUGAUGUGAAAGCCCACGGCUCAACCGUGGAGGGUCAUUGGAAACUGGAAAACUUGGGUGCAGAAGAGGAAAGUGGAAUUCCAUGUGUAGCGGUGAAAUGCGCAGAGAUAUGGAGGAACACCAGUGGCGAAGGCGACUUUCUGGUCUGUAACUGACGCUGAUGUGCGAAAGCGUGGGGAUCAAACAGGAUUAGAUACCCUGGUAGUCCACGCCGUAAACGAUGAGUGCUAAGUGUUAGGGGGUUUCCGCCCCUUAGUGCUGCAGCUAACGCAUUAAGCACUCCGCCUGGGGAGUACGACCGCAAGGUUGAAACUCAAAGGAAUUGACGGGGACCCGCACAAGCGGUGGAGCAUGUGGUUUAAUUCGAAGCAACGCGAAGAACCUUACCAAAUCUUGACAUCCUUUGACAACUCUAGAGAUAGAGCCUUCCCCUUCGGGGGACAAAGUGACAGGUGGUGCAUGGUUGUCGUCAGCUCGUGUCGUGAGAUGUUGGGUUAAGUCCCGCAACGAGCGCAACCCUUAAGCUUAGUUGCCAUCAUUAAGUUGGGCACUCUAAGUUGACUGCCGGUGACAAACCGGAGGAAGGUGGGGAUGACGUCAAAUCAUCAUGCCCCUUAUGAUUUGGGCUACACACGUGCUACAAUGGACAAUACAAAGGGCAGCGAAACCGCGAGGUCAAGCAAAUCCCAUAAAGUUGUUCUCAGUUCGGAUUGUAGUCUGCAACUCGACUACAUGAAGCUGGAAUCGCUAGUAAUCGUAGAUCAGCAUGCUACGGUGAAUACGUUCCCGGGUCU